rnacentral:lncRNA from 1 species
UGUUAUACUUGACAUAGUUAAAUAAUUGUAUUGAAAUUAUUUUAUUCUCUGUUCAUAUUUGUGCAUUUAUGUUCAUAUAUUUUUAUACUUAUAUUCCUUUUUUAUAUUGUUCUGAACAAUUAUAUAUAUCAAUUAAUUCUUGAUCACAUUCUUCCUCAACCAAUUCUCUUACUACCAAAAUCUUCAUCUUCUACCUCUCGUUCUUGGCUUUCCUACAAUUUCUUCCCCUUCAAAUGGCUUCUGCAGUUGUUUCUUCUUCUAAUAAUUCUCAGGCGCAGUCACAUUCUUCAACUUUGGGACUUUCUCAAGAGCAAAUUCAAGGUCUAUUGGCACUUCUUCCUCAAUCUAAUCCCACAGUCACACAUUCUACCAGUCUAGUGAGUUCUCAUAAUCUUUCCACUUCUUCUCAGGAUCAAGGUAAUAUCGCUUCCCAAUGGAUUCUAAACACAAGUGCUACUGAUCGUAUAUCCAGUUCUUUGUCUCAU